AUCUACGGCAUGCCAUCCUGAACAAGCCCAAUCCCGUCUGAUCUCAAAGCUAAGCAGGGUCGAGCCUGGUUAGUACUUGGAUGGGAGACCACCUAAGAAGACCAGGUGCUAUAGGCG
rnacentral:rRNA from 1 species